rnacentral:rRNA from 1 species
GACGAACGCUGGCGGCGUGCUUAACACAUGCCAGUCGAACGGAAAGGCCCUGCUUUUGUGGGGUGCUCGAGUGGCGAACGGGUGAGUAACACGUGAGUAUCCUGCCCUUGACUUUGGGAUAACUUCAGGAAACUGGGGCUAAUACCGGAUAGGAGCUCCUGCUGCAUGGUGGGGGUUGGAAAGUUUCGGCGGUUGGGGAUGGACUCGCGGCUUAUCAGCUUGUUGGUGGGGUAGUGGCUUACCAAGGCUUUGACGGGUAGCCGGCCUGAGAGGGUGACCGGCCACAUUGGGACUGAGAUACGGCCCAGACUCCUACGGGAGGCAGCAGUGGGGAAUAUUGCACAAUGGGCGGAAGCCUGAUGCAGCAACGCCGCGUGCGGGAUGACGGCCUUCGGGUUGUAAACCGCUUUCGCCUGUGACGAAGCGUGAGUGACGGUAAUGGGUAAAAAAGCACCGGCUAACUACGUG